AUGCAUGUCUAAGUAUAAGUGUUAUACAGUGAAACUGCGAAUGGCUCAUUAAAACAGUUAUAGUUUAUUUGAUAAUCGAAUUUACAUGGAUAACCGUGGUAAUUCUAGAGCUAAUACAUGCUGGUUAGCCUGACUUUUAGGAAGGGCUGUAUUUAUUAGAUAACAAACCAAUAUUCUUCGUGUCUAUUGUGACGACUCAUAAUAACUGAUCGGAUCGCAUGGGCUUUGCCCGCGACAAAUCAUUCAAGUUUCUGCCCCAUCAGCUUUCGAUGGUAGUGUAUUGGACUACCAUGGCUUUAACGGGUAACGGAGGAUUAGGGUUCGAUUCCGGAGAGGGAGCCUGAGAAACGGCUACCACAUCUAAGGAAGGCAGCAGGCGCGUAAAUUACCCAAUCGCGACUCGCGGAGGUAGUGACAAGAAAUAACAGACCGAAGCUAACGUUUCGGGAUUGCAAUGAGUAGAAUUUAAACCCCUUUACGAGGAUCAAUUGGAGGGCAAGUCUGGUGCCAGCAGCCGCGGUAAUUCCAGCUCCAAUAGCGUAUAUUAAAGUUGUUGCAGUUAAAAGCUCGUAGUUGGACUUCUGGGAGGAUGCCAAUGUCCGCUUGUUAGCGUGUGCAGCGGCGUCCUUCCAUCCUUCUGUUAACGUUUCUUGGUAUUCACUUACUGGUUUCGGGCUCAGAUAUUUUACCUUGAGAAAAUUAGAGUGUUUCAGGCAGGCUUGCGCCGGAAUACAUUAGCAUGGAAUAAUAGAAUAGGACUUUAGUCUCCUUUGUUGGUUGAAGAACCAAAGUAAUGAUUAAUAGGGAUAGUUGGGGGCAUUUGUAUUUCAAGGUCAGAGGUGAAAUUCUUGGAUUCUUGGAAGACAAACUAAUGCGAAAGCAUCUGCCAAGGAUGUUUUCAUUGAUCAAGAACGAAAGUUAGGGGAUCGAAGACGAUCAGAUACCGUCGUAGUCUUAACCAUAAACUAUGCCGACUAGGGAUUGGUGGAUGUUGUUAUUGACGCCAUCAGCACCUUAUGAGAAAUCAAAGUUUUUGGGUUCUGGGGGGAGUAUGGUCGCAAGGCUGAAACUUAAAGGAAUUGACGGAAGGGCACCACCAGGAGUGGAGCCUGCGGCUUAAUUUGACUCAACACGGGGAAACUCACCCGGCCCGGACACUGGAAGGAUUGACAGAUUGAGAGCUCUUUCUUGAUUCGGUGGGUGGUGGUGCAUGGCCGUUCUUAGUUGGUGGAGUGAUUUGUCUGGUUAAUUCCGAUAACGAACGAGACUCUGGCCUACUAACUAGUGAUCGGAUUUUUCAGUCUGAUUGACUUCUUAGAGGGACAAGCAGUGUUCAGCUGCAUGAAAAAGAG
rnacentral:rRNA from 1 species